GGUUAACCGUUUGUGGGGUACCCGUUUGUGGGGUGUCUGUUUGUGAGUUACCCGUUUAGUCUCUGUGUUUUUGGUCCCCGUUAUUCCCGUUUUUUACUUUCACGUAUUUUGGAUUUUCCGUUACCAGCUGUUUUGCUGGACACCUUUUGUUUGUAUUUAGUUAUUCAUUAAAUAUUCAAGCUGCUGCCUCUGCUUUUGGGUCUGCCAUACUCCAGAACCUAACAGAAUGACCUGACCAUUGGAUCCAGCAGAGUGGCUUUUUCUUUGGUGGGUGCCCAGUUUUUUUGCUUUUUUUUUCCUAUCUACUGUUUUCUUCCUUACGGACUUGGAAAGAUGGAACCUGCACAGUCUGUGAGAUGAACUUUACGAGUUAAUUUGUGACCUGCUUAAGCUUAAAACCAUGUGGAAGGAGGUUGACGGUGAUUACCAGAGGGAGGCAAUUUUGUAAUUUGCUCGUAUUAAAAAGCCCUGGGUUAAGGACUCAAUUCCUGUCAGGGUUAAAAACUUCAUUUCCACUCCAGCUCAUUCAUCUGCUAAGGGCUGCAGCAGCUGCCUGUUCUGCAGAUACCCCCGACUGCAAGCAAUCUUUUGAGGGAACUCGCCUAGCCAUAUACCCUGGGAACCGUGGGGGCCGUAGACUGGGAAGAAGACAACCUGGCUCCCGACGCCAUGGCCUGCUUCACCCUCUCUUCAGCCCAGAGUCCUCACCGUCCAGCUGCCCCAAGCCCGUGCUGUCCCCUCGGCCCCAAGCCCGUGCUGUCCCCUCGGCCCCGAACCCAUGCUGUCCAGUGGCUCCGAGCCCAUGCUGUCCAGCGAGCCUGUUCCUGAGCUGACCAGUGUUCCUGAGCUGACCAGUGUUCCUGUUUUGAGCAUUAAACUCUUCAUUUCCUGCAUUCUGGUGAAUUUGUGGAACCAGAUGGAAUAUAUCUAGAAGAUGACAUUACCCACGACACAUUUUUCCCACGACCAAACGGAUCCUUCCAGACAGAACUAAUGAGAAAUCAAGGAUCAUUUGCUGUUUGUGGAUCAGCCACAGACUUUGCUGGUGUGCAUCCUGGUGCGCAUCACACAUCUACGAUCAACCAGCUGCCCUACAAUCAACUAGGCCAACAUCUGCUGCAAAGGCCCCGUCCACCACCAGCAGUAGCCAGCUCAUCUAUGGCCUUUCACAACCCCCAAAAGAAAAACAGGGCUAUAAGAAAGCAAGUGUUUGUGUGCGAUAUCGAUGAUGUCGGAAAAAUGUGCCCAUAUAUUUGUUCAUUUUAUAUCAGUUACACCCACCUAAUUGAUGUUUAACGUUCUUAUAUUCAUAAUAAAUACUGAUUUAUGUGUCUGCAGCUUCUGUACAUGUGAGCAUCUUGGAUGGUGGGGGGGGGGGGGUAGACCAUGUUGCCACCACUGUCCAGGAAUACCUUAGUUCGGGGGAUCUCUUCACUAUUUGCG